UCUGUUUGAUAAUGGCAGAGAGCUAAGCUAUUAGCGGGAUUUGAGACAUGCAAGUAGAAUGGUUUAAAAUUUAAUACAUUUUAGAAUUGCGUCCGGGCGAGUAAUAAUAAAGAACCUACCUUAAAGAGGGGUAUAAAAUACCGUAUAUUGAAAGCGUAAACUAUGAGAAGGGUAUAGAGAAUAUUAUUCUCUAUGCGUAUACUUAAGCGCUUUAAGAGGGGCUUUAUUCUGAUUAGCUAGUUGGUAUGUGUAAAAGACUACCAAAGCUAAGAUCAGUAGCUGGUAUGAAAGUAUGUACAGCCGCACUAGAACUGAGACAAGGUCUAGACUUACAUUGUGAGGCAGCAGUCAAGAGUAUUUCCCAAUGAACGAAAGUUUGAGGAUGCCACGUUAAAUUUAACAAAAGUUAAAUAAAAAGAAGAUCUAUAAUGAAGGUUUAUUUUUACUAGAGCGGUCCAAGACAUGUGCCAGAAGACUCGGUUAUACAUGCCGCUCAGGUGUAGCUCUAUAACUAAAGGCGUAAAGGGUGUGUAGGUGGAUAUUAAAGUCUUAACUAUAAAUUUUAAAGAUUUAACUUUAAAAAUAUAUUAAGAAACUUCUUAUCUAGGGUUUUAUAGAGGAUAGCAGAAUUUCUAGUGUAUCGAUAAAAUGAGUAAAUAUUAGAAGGAAUACCAAAGGCGAAGGCAGCUAUCUGGGUAAUAACCGACAUUGAGACACGAAAGCUAGGGUAGCAAAUCCGAUUAGAGACCGGAGUAGUCCUAGCUGUAAACUUUGUACACUAAGUGUGAGUGAAAAUUCUCAUUCGUACUUUAGAUAACUCGUUAAGUGUACCGCCUGAAUACUACGAUCGCAAGAUUAAAACUCAAAUUAAUUGGCGGUUCUGGUGAUAGACGGAGGAGCAUGUGGUUUAAUGCGACGAUCCGCGCGAAACCUUACCUGAUCUAGUACAUUAUAUUAAUGUUCAGAUGCUGCAUGGCUGUCGUCAGUUCGUGCCUUGAAGUGUCAUGGUUAAUUCCAGCAAACGAACGUAACUCCUAUUUAAUAUUAAUUUAUAUUAAAGAUCAACUUUGAAUCAAAAAAAGUCUGAAGGUGGGAAUUACGCCAAGUCCUUAUGGCUCUUAUGAUCAGGGCUACUACAUGUGCUAUAAUGCCUUCUACAGAAAUUUACAUAUUUGUGAAAAUAUGUUAAUAAUUAAAAGUAGGCUCAGUUCGGAUUGAAGAUUGAAAUCUGUCUUCAUGAAGGAAGAUUCGUUAGUAAUCGAAAAUAAGAAUGUUUCGGUGAAUGGAAUAACCAGUUCGUACAAACCGCCCGUCACUGCUCGAAAUUUUGGAUUUAGCCCAAGUCUAUAUUCUUGAUUAACCUCCUUUAUAUUUAUUUUAUAAAGCUUUUUUUGGGAAUAUUUACCAAGUUAAUCCUGAGAUCCAGCAAAAG
rnacentral:rRNA from 1 species